AUGAAGAAUAUGAUCUCGGUGUCGGCUCCUGGAGUAUUAAACCUGAUAUUUUGGGUCUUUUUGGUAACACGACAUCUGCACCAUCUUCAAGCACUUCCUUGUGCUUACUUGAUAGAACUUCGACAUCUGAGUGGUCUGAAUCAGAGAAAAUUUCUUUGGAAGGAAUCUCAGCAUAGUUGAUUGAAGGUGAUGUUUUGGUUGAGGACGAUUUGAAUUUAACAGCUUUCUGCUGAUGUGACUUUUGGGCUCUAGGGUUCCUGAACUCGGUAGUCUUUCUGAAAAACAUCUGUAUCACAUGCGUCUGCAUCUGACACAUCUGAAUCAGGAGGAACCUCUUGCGAAUGAACACGGGCAAAAAAAAUAGUCUUAGUGUUUUUAGCCAAUAUAUCUCCAGUUAGUUGUAGACCUGGUUCCAGAUUAAUAUGUACCAAAUCCCCAUCUUCUUCUAAAAAAAUGUCUAUAUUUCCAUCAUUUUUGAUAUGGUUUUUGAAUAUUUUUUUAAUCUUUUCUUUGAUGUCCACUUCAGUAGACUUUUUCAAGAAAAAUGCCGUGUCGCAAAUUCUUUUUUGCUUUCGAUAGUCGCCCAAUAAUUUUCCAGUGGGCACUUUGAGACAAUGUGGCUCAACAAAAAUGACUUUACGUGUAAAAUUGGGGUACUGUUCUUUCGCAGUGAGACUUUUUCUUUUCAAGCAGAACGCUUGUGACGGAGUUGCAUUGCUUCCUGAUGCUGCUGCCGCCUUAAAAAAUGACAGUGAAGAAACGUUUUUGUUCCAUGUUGUGAGAGAUGUUUGGGUUGCUUUUAUUUAAUAUGAUAAAUUUUAUAGAAAUUUAAGAUGAAUUGAGUUGAUUUGCAACCUAAACAACUUUCACCUUCUUACCUAAUUUAUUCUAGAUAAGGAAAUCAAGGAAAUGUAAAUGAAGAGUCGGACUAAGUACGUUUGAAGUCUUUCGGCUAUGUAUAUUGAGGAAAUAACAGAAUUUAGUAUUACAGGCAUUACAAGAUAAUUUUAGUUACAGUUACAGAGUUUACAGAUGAAUUGGUUACGGAGAUUUUGGAAUGGAAAUUGAAAUGGAAAAAUGGUAGAGGAAAUAUGAAGGAAAGAAUCAAGGAUUUUUAGGAUGAUGAGAUGAAUUACCUUAGCGCCCCAUAUAACGAUUGAUGUUGAAGUUUUGCAUGUAACGUAUGCGGUCGAAUUUGCGUGUAACGUACGCGGUCGAAUGUAACUUACGUGUUACCACCGAUUUAACACUUAACGCGUGUAAAACGAAGUGAGUGUAAAGUACUCGGACUGGUUGUGUUCUGCGUAACACCGUCGAAGGUUUGAGUUGUAAUGAAACUCGUUCGCAGUUACUAAAUUGUAACCGGAGCCUUAACGAGACUCAAUCGAAGUCACUAAAUUGUGACAUAGUGCUUGAGGGCACAAACCUGAGCUGCGGAGCAGGGAUACUUUAAGUAAGACGGAUAAAUUGAGAAUGAGUAUAGAAUGCGUCGGGAGCUGGUCAAGACAUCUCGGGCGCUUGACGGCGCAGGACAUAAAUUCGACAAAGCAUGGGGAAUCUUGGUGACUAUGUGGCGCCUGUAAUAUUGAUUCCGAUAUGACUCACCAACGAAAAGUUGAGGCUAAGAAUCGCAUAGCAACAAGAUUAUUGGCCUCACACCUCCGGGGCCAAAGAAAAAGUAUGAAGUACUUUUCAAAAAUUAAAGGUGAGGGUGAAAUUUUGAAGAACUUGAACUUUUUGAUUUGGAAUUUUUUACCUUUAAUUUAACAGAAGAUGGACAAAAGACAAACGAGGAAAGACGAAGAUGUUUUUUAGAUUGAACUUUUUGGAGAAGAUUUUGACAGACAAGAAAAAAGCUUAGCUUGGAAUUUUUUAUACUAAAGAUUUGGUUUCCCUGGAGACGAAGGGGGACCC
rnacentral:lncRNA from 1 species